rnacentral:rRNA from 1 species
GAUUGAACGCUGGCGGCAGGCCUAACACAUGCAAGUCGAGCGGAUGAAGGGAGCUUGCUCCUGGAUUCAGCGGCGGACGGGUGAGUAAUGCCUAGGAAUCUGCCCGGUAGUGGGGGAUAACGUCCGGAAACGGGCGCUAAUACCGCAUACGUCCUGAGGGAGAAAGUGGGGGAUCUUCGGACCUCACGCUAUCAGAUGAGCCUAGGUCGGAUUAGCUAGUUGGUGGGGUAAAGGCCUACCAAGGCGACGAUCCGUAACUGGUCUGAGAGGAUGAUCAGUCACACUGGAACUGAGACACGGUCCAGACUCCUACGGGAGGCAGCAGUGGGGAAUAUUGGACAAUGGGCGAAAGCCUGAUCCAGCCAUGCCGCGUGUGUGAAGAAGGUCUUCGGAUUGUAAAGCACUUUAAGUUGGGAGGAAGGGCAGUAAGUUAAUACCUUGCUGUUUUGACGUUACCAACAGAAUAAGCACCGGCUAACUUCGUG